rnacentral:rRNA from 1 species
UCUACGGAAUAGCUCUGGGAAACUGGAAUUAAUACCGUAUACGCCCUACGGGGGAAAGAUUUAUCGGGGAAGGAUUGGCCCGCGUUGGAUUAGCUAGUUGGUGGGGUAAAGGCCUACCAAGGCGACGAUCCAUAGCUGGUCUGAGAGGAUGAUCAGCCACAUUGGGACUGAGACACGGCCCAAACUCCUACGGGAGGCAGCAGUGGGGAAUAUUGGACAAUGGGCGCAAGCCUGAUCCAGCCAUGCCGCGUGAGUGAUGAAGGCCUUAGGGUUGUAAAGCUCUUUCACCGAUGAAGAUAAUGACGGUAGUCGGAGAAGAAGCCCCGGCUAACUUCGUGCCAGCAGCCGCGGUAAUACGAAGGGGGCUAGCGUUGUUCGGAAUUACUGGGCGUAAAGCGCACGUAGGCGGAUAUUUAAGUCAGGGGUGAAAUCCCAGAGCUCAACUCUGGAACUGCCUUUGAUACUGGGUAUCUUGAGUAUGGAAGAGGUAAGUGGAAUUGCGAGUGUAGAGGUGAAAUUCGUAGAUAUUCGCAGGAACACCAGUGGCGAAGGCGGCUUACUGGUCCAUUACUGACGCUGAG